GUCUGCUGUGCUCUCUCCUCCCUGCAGGUACAGCUCCCUGCCCUUACUCCUCACAGACACACUGACAAAAUCCACCUGGGAUGGAGAAGCCAUCUGUUGAGAAGAUGCAGAAAUGUCCUGGCUAGUCCUGACUGCAGCGGCUGGUCUCUGCUCUGAAUCAGCAGAAGUCUUUUCCCUCCGGGAUCUCUCCUCCACCCUGAUGUCAGGAAGCUCAGGUAGUGUGGAUGGGCUCUUAUUGAAAGCUCUGCAGAAGAUGGGGAGAUCAAUGCAAUUAGCCUGAGGAGCCAUGAUGAAGCAAGCAAACAAGUUUUAAGACAAUUGCGGCCUCUUGCCCUGUAGUUCUUCCUCCAUCCUCCAGUAACUCCUGCAGACAGGUCAGAUAAUAACGUCGCAUCUUCCUGGCAGUGUCUUGCCUCUCCCUCUGCACCUCCACACGGAUCAUCUCUGCUGCACGCUCCCGACUCUCCUGGAGUCACCAGGUAUUGCUGCUUCAUCUCUUCGAGGCCUUGCUGAAGAUUCUGCUGGUGAUCAGAACUCCUGUAACCAAGAAUUUGGCUGAAAUUUAAUAAUACAGUAAAUGCUAUCCGUGAAUAUUAAGCUAUAAUUAUA